GUCCCCAUCGUCUAGUCGGUUAGGACACCGGCCUUUCACGCUGGUAACAGGGGUUCGAGUCCCCUUGGGGACGCCA
rnacentral:tRNA from 1 species